rnacentral:rRNA from 1 species
GACGAACGCUGGCGGCGUGCUUAACACAUGCAAGUCGAACGGAAAGGCCCUGCUUGCAGGGUACUCGAGUGGCGAACGGGUGAGUAACACGUGGGUGAUCUGCCCUGCACUUCGGGAUAAGCCUGGGCAACUGGGUCUAAUACCGGAUAGGAGCCAUUUUUAGUGUGAUGGUUGGAAAGUUUUUUCGGUGUAGGAUGAGCUCGCGGCCUAUCAGCUUGUUGGUGGGGUAAUGGCCUACCAAGGCGGCGACGGGUAGCCGGCCUGAGAGGGUGGACGGCCACAUUGGGACUGAGAGACGGCCCAGACUCCUACGGGAGGCAGCAGUGGGGAAUCUUGCACAAUGGGCGCAAGCCUGAUGCAGCGACGCCGCGUGGGGGAUGACGGCCUUCGGGUUGUAAACUCCUUUCGCUAGGGACGAAGCUUUUUGUGACGGUACCUAGAUAAGAAGCACCGGCUAACUACGUG